CAGUCAACUUCAACAACUUGUAUUAUUACAACUGUUUCUAAACAUCUCUGAUUGGACGACGGUAUUUUAAACUACUCCAUCUAGUGUCAUUUUUUGUAACAACGAACGUUUUUUACGAUUGAGAAUUGAAAUAAAAUUUUCUUGAGUAUUGAUAAAGUUUAUUCAACAAACAUCGACUAAAAUUGCAUACUUCUGAUUGAUUUGAUCAUGAUUAUGAUUAUUAAGAUAUUACAACGUAACACGAGUAAUACCUUUGUAAUAAAGAAGUACAAAUUCUAGACAUUCAAUGAUUUAAAGUUGACUUCUUUCCAGUUUCAUUAUUACAUUGUUUAACGCUUAAAUGUGGAGACUCAAAAAGUGAUGGUAAAAAAUUGUCCUCAAUAAGGUUAAAUGAGCCAUUAAACAUAAAUUCUAAUCAUACCUGGUUCAAAGGAAAAUGGUUCUAGACUUUGUCAACUGUUCAAACAUUCCAUCAUCAUGACACCUUCAAACAAAUGCGUGGAACAUUGCCUUUAAGUUUAAAAUGGAAGGAUUACUUUUUUGUGAUUGCUAUUGGUCUUACGCUUUGUUGACAUUGAAUUUUGGUGAAUUAUCAUAUCAAAUCGGAAUAACAUGAUGUCAGAUCUUUUAAUAUUUACUGCCAAACUAAAGUUCCUAAACCUUCAACUUAGGACGAUACUUGUUUAAAAGAUUUGGCGUAUCAUUUGACCACAGAUUUGCAAACAGCAAGAAAAUUAUUCGUAUUUAUAAUACGCUUGUAAUCCUUGACUUUUAAACCCAGAUUAGACACGACCCAGCUGAUUGGAUUAAAUUUUGGCCAACUAAUCUCUAAAACCUUAAUCCUAAGUGAUUUCUUCGAUGUUUUUGCAAAGACUAAACGAGUUAACCCAAUUUCAACUUUUAAAAAGUAAUGAUCGUAAGGAGAUUUAAAUGAUCUACGGACCAGUUAAGGAGAGCCAGACGAUCGGUAUAUCUGAUGUCUUAGCGUUGAAUACCGUAAAAAAUGAAAUGCUGAGCUUUUGUUGGUAAACAUUUUGUUUUUGGAUUUGUAUUUCAAUUCUGAAUUAACAAGCAACUUUAAAAAGCAAUUGGAUUUGGGUUUAACAGAAAAUGCCAAUCCUGACUCAAGAGCCAGCAACUCCUAUGGAAUUAUGCAAAAAAGAAACAAAAACAAAUGUGAAAAAACAAAAAUGUUUAAAUUAAGUGUAAUGCCUUAUUUCAAAGGCUAUUUCAAAGGUAAAUCCUUUGGAAAAAUUUUAGGUUAAUUUUGCCACUUGCUUUAUAAGUUCAUUUUUUAGUGAUAACUUAAGCAAUUUGUAUUCACUAAAUGAUCAAACUGACCCUGGAAACCCGUGCAAUAAGAUUGAGAAAUGUAUCGAAAUACUUGAAAAUAUAACAAGAUUUCAGUCCUUGA